rnacentral:rRNA from 1 species
AUUGAACGCUGGCGGCAGGCUUAACACAUGCAAGUCGAGCGGAGAUGAGGUGCUUGCACCUUAUCUUAGCGGCGGACUGGUGAGUAAUGCUUAGGAAUCUGCCUAUUAGUGGGGGACAACAUUCCGAAAGGAAUGCUAAUACCGCAUACGCCCUACGGGGGAAAGCGGGGGAUCUUCGGACCUUGCGCUAAUAGAUGAGCCUAAGUCGGAUUAGCUAGUUGGUGGGGUAAAGGCCUACCAAGGCGACGAUCUGUAGCGGGUCUGAGAGGAUGAUCCGCCACACUGGGACUGAGACACGGCCCAGACUCCUACGGGAGGCAGCAGUGGGGAAUAUUGGACAAUGGGCGGAAGCCUGAUCCAGCCAUGCCGCGUGUGUGAAGAAGGCCUUUUGGUUGUAAAGCACUUUAAGCGAGGAGGAGGCUACCUGGAUUAAUACUCUAGGAUAGUGGACGUUACUCGCAGAAUAAGCACCGGCUAACUCUGUGCCAGCAGCCGCCGUAAGAC